rnacentral:lncRNA from 1 species
UUAGGGUUUUGUGUCGAACGCCUCAAUGCUUCCUCCAAGUCUCGUUGGGCUCUAGUCUCGUCGUCCUCGUCCUGAAUCUCGGUUUGGUGUGAAGAAGCACCACUAGUCACGGGCUCUCGUUGUCCCACAUUUUGCUCCUGUCGUCCCACCUCCUCAACUCGUUGUCGUGGUCUUCCUCGUCAGAAAUAACUCGUCGUGUAACAAAUUCUUAUAAAUUACAUUGAAUACGUAAUCUGAUAUCAGGAAAUACCUUUGUGCAAUUUGUAACAUCAUUCCCAACUCCAACUAGAUGUUCCUUGAACCGUGUCACCCCUCCACUUCGCAUUUUCUUCUCACAAAAACCAUAAACUAUUCCAGUCUCAUUACCUGGCUCAACAAAUCCGUACUCCCACCCAAUGUCCCUUUUAGCCAUUGUCCUAAGCUCCUACUAAUAUAAAAAUUUAUACAAGUAUAAAUGUAAGACAACAUUAAAUUUAAAAAAAACAAAUUUUAUUCAUAGUGUUGUUAAGAAGUACAACAAUUUGCAAAUACGGCUAUUACACAAAGAUCAUCAAGACAAGACAAACCAUAUUAUUAAUUUGUUACGAAUUACUAA